GACGAACGCUGGCGGCGUGCUUAACACAUGCAAGUCGAACGGAAAGGCCCUGCUUUUGUGGGGUGCUCGAGUGGCGAACGGGUGAGUAACACGUGAGUAACCUGCCCUUGACUUUGGGAUAACUUCAGGAAACUGGGGCUAAUACCGGAUAGGAGCUCCUGCUGCAUGGUGGGGGUUGGAAAGUUUCGGCGGUUGGGGAUGGACUCGCGGCUUAUCAGCUUGUUGGUGGGGUAGUGGCUUACCAAGGCUUUGACGGGUAGCCGGCCUGAGAGGGUGACCGGCAACAUGGGGACUGAGAUACGGCCCAGACUCUUCCGGGGGGAAGAGGUGGGGAAUAUUGCAAAAGGGGCGGAGGCCUGAUGAACAACCCCCGCGUGGGGAAUGACGGCCUUCGGGUGGUAAACCGUUUUCGCUUGUGACGAGGCGUGGGGACCGGUAAUGGGUAAGGAAGCACGGGUAAACUCCGU
rnacentral:rRNA from 1 species